UGUAAACACCCUACACUCUCAGC
rnacentral:ncRNA from 4 species